UCAAAAACGGUUUUGGAAAACGUUAACUUUGGAAGUUAGAGGCUGGGGCAACUCAUUUUUGAA
rnacentral:tRNA from 1 species